rnacentral:rRNA from 1 species
UACGUAGGGUGCGAGCGUUAAUCGGAAUUACUGGGCGUAAAGUGUGCGCAGGCGGCAAAGCAAGUCGAGUGUGAAAGCCCCGGGCUUAACUUGGGAAUUGCGCUCGAAACUACUUUGACUGGAGUGUGGCAGAGGAAGGUGGAAUUCCGUGGUGUAGCGGUGAAAUGACGCAGAUAUCAGGAGGAACACCGGUGGCGAAGGCGGGUCUCGUAGGACAACACGUGA